rnacentral:rRNA from 1 species
UACGUAGGGUGCAAGCGUUGUCCGGAAUUACUGGGCGUAAAGGGCUCGUAGGCGGCCAACUAAGUCAGACGUGAAAUCCCUCGGCUUAACCGGGGAACUGCGUCUGAUACUGGAUGGCUUGAGGUUGGGAGAGGGAUGCGGAAUUCCAGGUGUAGCGGUGAAAUGCGUAGAUAUCAGGAGGAACACCGGUGGCGAAGGCGGUGGUCUGGGCCGGCACUGACGCUGAGGAGCGAAAGCGUGGGGAGCGAACAGG